rnacentral:misc_RNA from 1 species
ACGAGUUUUAAUUGUUAGGUUAGAGUUGAGCUGGUUAAUCUAAUUAAUAUGUGCUUACUCUAAUCGAAACAAGUCCACUCAUUACUUAACACUUGUGAACUUAUUCAUUACAAACAUUGUUAAGUAAUGAGUGGACUUGUUUCGAUUAGAGUAAGCACAUAUUAAUUAGAUUAAACCAGCUCAACUCUUAACAUUAGAGGAAUUAAAACUCGUACAUGAUCUUUCCGUAGGUUAACCUACGGAAGGAUCAUUAUCGUAGAGCUUCGGCUCUUUCGAGGGAGAACCCUUGCCUUUUCGAGCACCUGUUUGUUUCCUCGGCAGGCCCGCCUGCCAAUGGGGACCUUUUUUAAACCCUUGCGAUAACCUGAACAAAAAUCGUCUGAACAAAAAAAAAUCUAAAUCA